rnacentral:rRNA from 1 species
AGCAGUAGCCGCGGUAAUACGAAGGGGGCUAGCGUUGUUCGGAUUUACUGGGCGUAAAGCGCACGUAGGCGGAUCGAUCAGUCAGGGGUGAAAUCCCAGAGCUCAACUCUGGAACUGCCUUUGAUACUGUCGAUCUGGAGUAUGGAAGAGGUGAGUGGAAUUCCGAGUGUAGAGGUGUAAUUCGUAGAUAUUCGGAGGAACACCAGUGGCGAAGGCGGCUCACUGGUCCAUUACUGACGCUGAGGUGCGAAAGCGUGGGGAGCAAACAGGAUUAGAUACCCCUGUAGUCCCUGUCUCUUAUAC